UGCCGCGUGUCUGAAGAAGGCCUUCGGGUUGUAAAGGACUUUGUCAGGGAGCAAAACUUACUGGUUAAUACCUGGUGAGGUUGAGAGUACCUGAAGAAUAAGCACCGGCUAACUACGUGCCAGCAGCCGCGGUAAUACGUAGGGUGCAAGCGUUAAUCGGAAUUACUGGGCGUAAAGCGUGCGCAGGCGGACUUUUAAGCCAGAUGUGAAAGCCCCGAGCUUAACUUGGGAAUUGCGUUUGGAACUGGGAGUCUAGAGUCUGUCAGAGGGGGAUGGAAUUCCACGUGUAGCAGUGAAAUGCGUAGAGAUGUGGAGGAACACCGAUGGCGAAGGCAGUCCCCUGGGAUAAGACUGACGCUCAUGCACGAAAGCGUGGGGAGCAAACAGGAUUAGAUACCCUGGUAGUCCACGCCCUAAACGAUGUCUACUAGUUGUUGGGGUAGCAAUACCUCAGUGACGCAGCUAACGCGUGAAGUAGACCGCCUGGGGAGUACGGUCGCAAGAUUUAAAACUCAAAGGAAUUGACGGG
rnacentral:rRNA from 1 species